ACCCCCGAACCUAGUUUUGAAUGGUCGUGGCUCCACUCCACUGAAUCAGUAGCCACAAGAAAGACGUCCUUUUUUCCGGGAGCUGCAUGGGGACUGCAGGAGUCCAAAGCCUCGCUGUGAUUUAUGGGGAACAGUUAUAUAUUGGGUCAAAUAAUCCAGUAUUUCUUCACUCUGGUGCUGAAGGUCCGCUGCGGUGCUCUUUACUGUGUUUCCCUGUUCCUCUGUUUUCGUUUAAAGCCCCUCAGUCUUAAAACAGCGGCACUAGCGGGCCUCCAGCGGGCCUCCAGCACCACUAGUGAUUACCCUGCCGGAAUAGAUUAUCGUAGCGCGGCGGAGCUCUGUAAGUCCCGGCCCAGUUCCAAAAGACACAACAUCCUCAGUGUCCUGGAGCUCCAGCUGAAGCACUGGCCCAUCCACCUUCUCCAUCCCCACCCAAAAGAGGAAGAUCAGCAGCAGUGGAGGGUCCCAGGAUGUUGAGAUGGUAGUGCAGAGCGGUACUUCUAAGGCAGCUAGUUGAAGGCGUGAUUGAGGUCCAUGCCAGAGGGGUUCUGCACUGUGACCUCAAGCCAUAGAACAUCCUGGUUCAGAUGUACAGUUAGGAACCACGCCUUCAUCUUCUGUUCUUCUGGACCUUCCUCAUGAGUGGUUUACCCAUGAGGCCAAAUCCUCCACAGUGUUGCAGAUAGGAAUCAUCCUGUGUGUGAGAGGUGACCCUUCAACACCAGCAUGGAGAUCACCUCAAAGAAGUCUCAGAUCACCAUCUGCUCUAUGACCCCUGGCUAAGUAUACACCACGACACAGCCACCACAUCAGGCACACCUCAGUCAGGUACCAUAUAAAACAAUAAUAAUAAUAAUUUAAAAAAAUCUAUAUUUUCAAUCUCUAGUUUAGAGAGUUCUCUAGUAGAGCUGGGCGAUUAAUCGAUUUUAUCGAUAAAUUCGAAUUAACAGUUAAGGACAGUGUGUUUUUAUGAAAAUCAAUUUUCUCUGAAUUUUCUUUUUCACCACAGACGCUCCUCUGUGGGCACAGAGUGAGCUUAGCUAGCUCCCUCCAUACCUCCCUCCCUCCCGCGCGCGCAACCCCCGCCCCUCCCUCCCGCGCUUACCCCCCGUACCUCCCACCCGCGCUUACCCCCCGCACCUCCCUCACUCCCUCCCUCACCCUUGUGCACGCACAAACACACACACAUACACAAAACACAUGACGGCGGAGCUUAAGAGCAACUAGCUCCGUGAUCUGGAGUUGGUUCGGUUGGUACCUUAAACAGAAGCAUGUAGCGGAGUGGGAGAAGUGCUGCUACCAUAGGAAUGAACGCAGCAGCAGCACUAGUUCACCAUUCAACGUUAAACAAGGAACUGUCCCUGGCACAUCUUCCAACCGUGUACCAGGUUCUGUAUGCACUAAAAGUUAAGAUGUUUUGCAUAUUCAUGAGAAAAGAUCUCAUUUUAUAGAACACUGGCACUUAUUUAAAAGCUUUGUUUUGCAAUUCUAGCCCAAUGGGGAAAAGUAUUUACUUAAGAGCAUAUAAAUUGUACUUGUUUUCUAUUGUCUACUUUGCAAGUUUUAUCAAAAAAGGGCACCAUUUUAUUUAUUUCUAUUUGUUUUUAAGGGUGUGUUUAUUUAUUUAUUUAUUUUUUAAGUUUGAGGAUGCAUUGUGUCAGUACCUAAACUAUGUUGGAGAAAGCUUUCUAAAAGUCACUAGAUGUUCUCACUGUUUACAAUAGUUUUUUUUUGCUUGUUUCUGGUUGCACUUUAACCACAAAUUGAACAUUUUAAGUGAAAACAAAUUAAAUAAGAACUAGUUUUUAACCAUUUCUUUAUCAUCUUUAGUUUGAUUUUUAGUAGGGGGAAAAAAUCGAUUUAAAUAAAAAAUUGGUAAGUUUUUUUUUUUUCGGCCAUAUCGCCCAGUUCUAUUCUCUAGUUUAGAGGGUUUUUUAUAAAACACACCUAAGGACAAUAGCAGGUAUUAAUAAAGCUAUUGAUUCCAUACUUUUAAAAAGGUAAUGAUUUUCUUUAACUAUAUAAAUGUUUUAAUCGUUUUGUGUAUUGUAUGCUUUUAGUUGCUUCCUGUUUUGUAUUUGUGUUCAUGUACUUAAGGCUUUAAUCCUUUUAUCUUGAUAUUGUUUAUCUUUUGAUGUUUAUUAAUUACUUAACUGUAUUUAUCUUUAUGUAGUAUACUGUUAGUGUUUUAAUCCAUACACUUUUUGUAUAUAUUUCUUUUAUUGCUUAGUUACUUGCUAUAUUAAUGGUUAUUAUAUUGGUGUUUUAGUCUUAUUUUGGGCUUAUAUUCAUUAAAAGCAUUUUAACGUUUGUCUAUUAGUGCUUUAAUUAAUUAAUAUUGUACUUACCUUUUACUAUUUUACUAUUAAUCUUUCUGUACUUAAUUCUGAUAUUUAUACAUUAUUUUUUAUAUAAUUUUCUUUCAGCUUUGUAUUACAUUGUUUAUUAAUUGUAUGUCUUUAUACGGGAUUUUAUAUUUGCAUUGUAUAUAUUUUUGUUUCAUUUAAUGUUUAUGCUCUUUGACUU